UACGUAGGGGGCAAGCGUUGUCCGGAUUUAUUGGGCGUAAAGCGCGUGUAGGCGGUUCGGUAAGUCCGCUGUGAAAGUCGGGGGCUCAACCCUCGGAUGCCGGUGGAUACUGUCGAGCUUGAGUACGGAAGAGGCGAGUGGAAUUCCUGGUGUAGCGGUGAAAUGCGCAGAUAUCAGGAGGAACACCAAUUGCGAAGGCAGCUCGCUGGGACGUUACUGACGCUGAGACGCGAAAGCGUGGGGAGCAAACAGG
rnacentral:rRNA from 1 species